rnacentral:rRNA from 1 species
CCUGCCCACUGAUGAAAUUUAAAUGGCCGCAGUACCUUGACUGUGCUAAGGUAGCAUAAUAAAUUGACUCUUAAUUGGGGCCUUGAAUGAAUGGAUUAAUGGAUAAUUUCUGUCUUAAAUAAACUUAUUAAAAGUUAAUUAAUAGGUGAAAAUUCCUAUAAAAUUAUAUAAUAGACGAGAAGACCCUAGGAGUUUAAGAUUUUGUUGGGGCGACAAUAUAGCAUACUACAUUAACCUAUAUAUAUAUAAUAAAAAUAAAACGAAAAUUUUUAAUAAUAAAUAAACUACCCUAGGGAUAACAGCAUAAUAUUAAUUUAAGUUUGUGACCUCGAUGUUGGACUAGGAACUUUUAACAUUAACAAUGUUAAUUGAUAGUUCUGUUCGA